rnacentral:hammerhead_ribozyme from 1 species
AUCCAGUUGACGAGACCCAAAUAGGACGAAACACGCGUCCUGGAU